AGCUUCUUCGGGGGGAGGAUCUGGUGAGUGCCUUCUGGGCCAAGGGGAAAGAGGACUGCACUGCAGGGGUGGCGGUGAGGUGCCUGGCAGUCCUGGAAGAGGGAGGUGGAAGAGCUCAGGGGGAGACCCCAGAAGUGCCCAUGGGAGGAGGCACUGAGGGACUAAAGCUGGCAGGGGUUACUAGUCCUCAUGAGCAUAGGCAGCCUGCACUACCAGAAGCCAUCUGCCUAUGUGCAGCAACUGCCGCGGAACAUGGGUGAGAGGGUACUGGGGCAUUUCUGUCCUGGUGUGAACAGUAUGUUGGAUUAUGGUCUGAUCCUCUUUUUAUGAAUUUAAAUACGACAUAGCUACUAGUCCUCAUGGCCAGAUCCUUUGUCCCAUAUCUCAGGCCACGUGUUUAUGUAGUUUCUGGGAAAUGUGGGAGGGAGGAAGCUGUGGCAUUCUGGUUCUGCUCAUGGGUUUCUUGUGAGCGGCUGACUAGUUGGACCCUCAGUCUGUCCCACAGGGCUUUUCUGAUAUUCUUUUGAGACCAUGAAUAGACUGAUUUUUUUCUUCUUCCUUCUUCUUGUAGUAUUAGAGCACACCAAGGCAUAUCCAAUGAAGCGAAAUGCUGGGAGAUUCAGGAAAGACAGAAAAAAAUGGUGCCACCUUUCAAAUUAGACAUGAUGCACUUUGGGGCAAAAAGACCAAGGAGCACUCCUCUUCUGAGGGGGUCCCUGGCAGUUCUGGAGCAAAGAGCAGUCCAUCGGAUACCAGACAGAGGCCGCUGUUCAUGGGGACCAUGCAGAAGGUCGACAGGAGCCCCAUGUUGCCGGGUGAUGAAAUGCCACAUGUAUCUAAGGAGCCAUCACUUCUUCAGGGUGUAGGUGAAAUGCUUCCCAUCCCACUGGAUCAGGUAGGGGAGAAAUCGCGGGGGAGAUCGGCUGGGGGCGGUCCAGGGACCUCUCUCACACACACAUCUCCUCGGAUCCACUGCUUUGCC
rnacentral:lncRNA from 1 species